rnacentral:rRNA from 1 species
UACGUAGGGGGCUAGCGUUGUCCGGAUUUAUUGGGCGUAAAGAGCGUGUAGGCGGCCAUGUAGGUCCGGUGUGAAAACUCGAGGCUUAACCUCGAGAUGUCAUCGGAAACCAUUUGGCUAGAGUCCGGAAGAGGCGAGUGGAACUCCUGGUGUAGCGGUGGAAUGCGCAGAUAUCAGGAAGAACACCAACGGCGAAGGCAGCUCGCUGGGACGGAACUGACGCUAAGGCGCGAAAGCGUGGGGAGCGAACAGG